rnacentral:rRNA from 1 species
UACGAAGGGAGCUAGCGUUGUUCGGAAUCACUGGGCGUAAAGCGCACGUAGGCGGAUGUGUCAGUCAGGGGUGAAAUCCCGGAGCUCAACUUCGGAACUGCCUUUGAUACAGCACGUCUUGAGUCCGAGAGAGGUGGGUGGAAUUCCUAGUGUAGAGGUGAAAUUCGUAGAUAUUAGGAAGAACACCAGUGGCGAAGGCGGCCCACUGGCUCGGUACUGACGCUGAGGUGCGAAAGCGUGGGGAGCAAACAGG